AGAAAGAGUGGGAACAUCCGAAUAUCUGCCUCUCAUUGUUGCACGACCGUUUUCGUAGGCCGUCUUCUACGCUGCGUAGAUUUCUCUGCUGACGUCAACAGCGGCACAACGUUUUAGAACUGAAGAGCUACGAGUGUCUCCCCUGCAGCUGGCCCCAGCAGCAGUCUGCUGCAACAGUAACGAAGCCGGCCACAGCGCCCCGCUGCCACCGCAAGCCAUCGACGCACUUCUUCAGAGACGACGGAACGCACCCCUUUUCAUUUUGAUCCAUCGAGUCGGGUUAUUGACCAGAUAAGUAAAGCUAUUACAUCGUAUUAACUGCCGGUCUGCAAUCAGCCACUAGAAAAUACAAUUCGUCUGACUUUCUGUACCACUUGUCUGAAAUCCAAGUCCGAUUUACUCCGACAACGGCAAUUAUAAGAUACACCGACAUUUCCUUUCGUUUUUCCUUUUCUACGUGCGGCCAUAUUGCCUAUACUACGACUUUCUUUUGGGUGCAUACUAAUGUACGACAAAUCUCAUUGCAUAUGGCGGUACAUACAUACAUUGUUACAUCCAUACUUACAUAUAUAAAACCGAAGAAAAAAUCCCAAGCAUCAGAAAUAUUGUGCAAGGAUAUGCCAAGCGUACAGUGAGAAAUAUUUAAUUUCCAGUGUUCUGCCAAUUAAGGCCCCCAAAAUUUCCCAAUAUAUUUUUCAUUGUAUAUACGCUGCCGCAUUAAUAUUUUCAUGUAUUUUUUUCUUCUCCGAAUACAGUCCACACAAAAUGGAAAACGUCCAUCACAAUUCAUACCCGCCGGCAAAAAUACAUAUAUGUAUACAUAUUCAAGAUACAUACACAUAUACACAUACAUAUUUUCAACACUCCCAUUAAUCUAGUCCCACAAAUUAAAGUUUUCCGUCGGCCAUCCUAUUAAAUAUAAUCAAAUAAAAAUCAACCAACCGACGUGAAAAACUUUUUUUGGUCAGUGUGUUUUUUAUUUCGUACAAUAACCACAUUCAAUCUCAAAAUUCCCGACAUUCCAGGCUACACUUGACCGCUUUGGUUUGUCCCCUUACGCAGCUUUCCACCACUCCGGGUUUUAAUAAGAAUCAAAGAUCAUCCGCAUCCACCAAAUUAUUUGGUAUUUUUUGUGGUAUUUGGUUCUUCCGUCAACUUAUUAAAGAAGGCAAAAUAAUACCAGCUCUCCACCGGGGGCAAUAAUAACAAUCAUGUACCCUCCACCAUCCAUCAAUUACUUGGUAUUUUUGGGUAAUUGAUCAUUUUUCCGUCGCAGAUUAUUAAAGCCUAGUACUCAGAUCGGCUAAAAAUUUCAUUAGUCGAAAAAUCUUAUUUUUUGUAGUGUGACCGAUGUUUUAUAAGUUCACCUGCAAUACAUGUUGCAUGGUCUCACUAACAAAUCAAUUGGAGCAAUUUAAAAAGAAGAGUCUGGUGAAGCACAAGGAAAUUAAAAUACAAGUAAAUGGAAUGAAACUGCAUGAAGUCGCCGAGCAACCUGGUAAUGGCUGGAGAUGGCUACACCAGCUCCUCCUCACUAUAGAAGCCGGCGCGCCCCCAUCUCCGAUUUAGCUCCCAAGUUGCUGGUGGAGGUGGAGUCCGGUCGGUCCUCAAUGGAUAGCUCGCCGGAGAUCGAGCGAUGUCCCACUCGGCAUGUUUCUUCCUACUGGGACUGUCUAGAGCAUCUCCUACAUCACUUCAACUAUUUUGCGGAUUUGCCCCGUGGUAUUGCUUCCUGUCAGUGAAAUCCCACAAUAAUGGGCAACAUCUUGGACUAGGCGUCCUUUUUCAUCUGCACUGAACUCCUUUAGGCGAUUUUGGGGUUUUUCUUCCAUUUUUAAUUUCCAAAUUCCACACCGCUUUUGCACGAAGACCGUCAAAGAUUACAUUUCUUAAUAAUUAUUAAUAAGUUAAUAAAAUUAAAAUUAACUGAACUCUUUGCUUGAUGCUCUACGACGAAAUUAAGAAAUAAAAAAUGAAAGGAAAA